rnacentral:rRNA from 1 species
ACGAAAGGACCAAGAGAAUGAAACCUAAGCUCAAAGCAAGUUUCCCCUCUCCUGAAAAAAAAUUAAACCCAAAGUACCUCGCAACCCA